GGACAGUAGGUUGGUCGUGCCACCGGUACGUACUGGUCUCACUGAUUCCUCCUUCCUGAAGAACCGUAAUGCCAUUAAUUUGGUGUUGCGGGGAAACAGGACUGUUACUUUGAAAAAAUUAGAGUGUUUAAAGCAAGCUAACGCUUGAAUACAUUAGCAUGGAAUAAUGAAAUAGGACGAUCGAUCCUAUUUUGUUGGUUUCUAGGAUUGACGUA
rnacentral:rRNA from 1 species